rnacentral:rRNA from 1 species
CCUACGUGAGGCAGCAGUGAGGAAUAUUGGUCAAUGGACGAGAGUCUGAACCAGCAAAGCAGCGUGAAGGAUGACUGCCCUAUGGGUUGUAAACUUCUUUUAUAUGGGAAUAAAAUGUUCCACGUGUGGGAUUUUGUAUGUACCAUAUGAAUACGGAUCGGCUAACUCCGUGCCAGCAGCCGCGGUAAUACGGAGGAUCCGAGCGUUAGCCGGAUUUAUUGGGUUUAAAGGGAGCGUAGGUGGAUUAUUAAGUCAGUUGUGAAAGUUUGCGGCUCAACCGUAAAAUUGCAGUUGAAACUGGCAGUCUUGAGUACAGUAGAGGUAGGCGGAAUUCGUGGUGUAGCGGUGAAAUGCUUAGAUAUCACGAAGAACUCUGAUUGCGAAGGCAGCUCACUGGACUGCAACUGACACUGAGGCUCGAAAGUGUGGGGAUCAAACAGGAUUAGAUACCCCGGUAGUC